CCUACGGGAGGCAGCAGUGAGGAAUAUUGGUCAAUGGGCGUAAGCCUGAACCAGCCAAGUCGCGUGAGGGAUGAAGGUUCUAUGGAUCGUAAACCUCUUUUAUAAGGGAGUACAGUGUGGGACGUGUCCUAUUUUGUAUGUACCUUAUGAAUAAGGAUCGGCUAACUCCGUGCCAGCAGCCGCGGUAAUACGGAGGAUCCGAGCGUUAUCCGGAUUUAUUGGGUUUAAAGGGUGCAUCGGCGGCCUUUUAAGUCAGGGGUGAAAGUCUGGGGCUCAACGAUAGAAUUGCCGUUGAAACUGGGGGGCUUGAGUAUGUUUGAGGCAGGCGGAAUGCGUGGUGUAGCGGUGAAAUGCGUAGAUAUCACGCAGAACCCCGAUGGCGAAGGCAGCCUGCCAAGCCAUGACUGACGCUGAUGCACGAAAGCGUGGGGAGCAAACAGGAUUAGAUACCCGAGUAGUC
rnacentral:rRNA from 1 species